rnacentral:lncRNA from 1 species
GGAAAUGCUUUGCUAUGGCAUGAUUUUACGUUAGUUUUUUGCCUGCAGCAGUCAGUUGACAAAUUGGACGCCGAAAAGGGACUGAGGAUGCCGAGGAUGUGGGUGCACGAGGGUGCCACCAUGGCAACCUGAUCCAGAACAAAGUGAAAAAAAAGAUGCUACGUGGGUUAGAUUGUGCUCCUUUAGAGUGUGUGCAAGUGUGGGAAUCUGAGCCAGGAAGAAGAAGUCGGGGAUAGUGGUAGUGGAUCAGGUGAAGAC